rnacentral:rRNA from 4 species
UGGGGAAUUUUGGACAAUGGGGGAAACCCUGAUCCAGCAAUGCCGCGUGUGCGAAGAAGGCCUUCGGGUUGUAAAGCACUUUUGUCAGGGAAGAAAUCCUUUGGGCUAAUACCCUAGGGGGAUGACGGUACCUGAAGAAUAAGCACCGGCUAACUACGUGCCAGCAGCCGCGGUAAUACGUAGGGUGCAAGCGUUAAUCGGAAUUACUGGGCGUAAAGCGUGCGCAGGCGGUUGUGUAAGACAGGUGUGAAAUCCCCGGGCUUAACCUGGGAAUUGCAUUUGUGACUGCACGACUAGAGUGUGUCAGAGGGGGGUGGAAUUCCACGUGUAGCAGUGAAAUGCGUAGAUAUGUGGAGGAACACCAAUGGCGAAGGCAGCCCCCUGGGAUAACACUGACGCUCAUGCACGAAAGCGUGGGGAGCAAACAGG